rnacentral:rRNA from 1 species
GCCAGCGGGGAUAGCACGUUGAAUGUUCCUCUUCCCAAUGAAUCACUGAAGUUCAGCAAUGUUGAACGUGGUUAGUAUCUGGAUCGGUGACCAUCUGGGCAAUCGCGUGGUGCUGGCU